GGAGGGGCUCCCACGGUGCAGCUGCGGGCUGAAGGGCUCCUCAAGCGCGGCCAGAGUGGGCUGAGGCCGAGGAGGCGCGGAGAGCCAGCGAGGGAUGCCAGCAAGCUGUCACCUCUCAGAAAUACAGGAAGAACAUCAAUAAUGUUCGAAGUUAUAAAUUGCGGAGGUCAGAAGUCAGAAAACAAGGUGUCUGCAGGACCAACCUCUCCUCUGGAUGCUCUAGGUGUUGAAAUUUCCAGGAUGCAAAACGAAGGGGCAAUUCAAAACAUUCAUCUCCACUUCUCAAAAACAUGGUCCCUGUCACCAUCCACCUCGACUUCAUGUAUCUUCUGCUUCUACCCGUGUAACAAGUACAUAGCUUGUGUUUCCUGAAUGGCUU
rnacentral:lncRNA from 1 species